ensembl:lncRNA
AAGCUUAUCGUGUUCACACACACACACGCACACCAGCACCACAGACCCUUAGUGUGUUUUUCUAACGAACCAAACCCGUGUUCUCCUUAGCGUGUUCUUAGCAUGUGCAUGCCAGACUGUACCAUGUACGUGUAGUGUCUGGGGGGUGUUUCUGAGACACCCCUCUCUGCCCUGUCCUUCCGUAGGACCCAAAACACCCCCCUUCCUCGCAGCCCUAAUGGUCCGGUCUGGUCUAGGUAGAAUCAUCUCCUCCCCUCUGCGUUCCGGCCGGGUGGUACAGCCCAACACCCCUGGCUCUAAAGGUGGGCGUGGCCGGGUGGUACAGCCCAACACCCCUGGCUCUAAAGGUGGGCGUGGCCACAGGUAGGGUGUCUGUCACCUGUCACCUGGCUGUCUGUCUGUCAUCACCCACGGAGACCAUCUGGAACGGCUCGAGAACCCCCCCGUCACCCUCCCCAUCCGCCUCCCCGUCACCUAAACCCUGUCAACCCAUCCACAUCAUCACUACAUUCUACAGCUCAGGACCACAUUCUACAGGACCACAUUCUACAGCUCAGUGUAUAUAGGACACCCAUCUACAGUGGCCAUCUGACAUAGAUUCUGUCUCCGUGUUAUGUGGUUGCUGUGGGUCUUGUCUCCGUGUUAUGUGGUUGCUAUGGGUCUUGUCUCUGCGUUAUGUGGUUGCUGUGGGUCUUGUCUCUGCGUUAUGUGGUUGCUAUGGGUCUUGUCUCUGUGUUAUGUGGUUGCUGUGGGUCUGGUCUCUGUGUUAUGUGGUUGUUGUGGGUCUCUGUGUUAUGUGGUUGCUAUGGGUCUUGUCUCUGUGUUAUGUGGUUGCUAUGGGUGUUGUCUCUGUAUUAUGUGGUUGCUAUGGGUCUUGUCUCUGUGUUAUGUGGUUGCUGUGGGUCUCUGUGUUAUGUGGUUGCUGUGAUUCUUGUCUCUGUGUUAUGUGGUUGCUAUGGGUCUUGUCUCUGUCUUAUGUGGUUGCUGUGGGUCUUGUCUCUGUGUUAUGUGGUUGCUGUGGGUCUCUGUGUUAUGUGGUUGCUGUGGGUCUGUGUUAUGUGGUUGCUAUGGGUCUUGUCUCUGUGUUAUGUGGUUGCUGUGGGUCUUGUCUCUGUGUUAUGUGGUUGCUAUGAGUCUUGUCUCUGUGUUAUGUGGUUGCUGUGGGUCUUGUCUCUGUGUUAUGUGGUUGCUGUGGGUCACGUCUCUGUGUUAUGUGGUUGCUGUGGGUCUGGUCUCUGUGUUAUGUGGUUGUUGUGGGUCUCUGUGUUAUGUGGUUAUAAUGGGUCUGGUCUCUGUGUUAUGUGGUUGCUGUGGGUCUUGUCUCUGUGUUAUGUGGUUGCUAUUGGUCUUGUCUCUGUGUUAUGUGGUUGCUGUGGGUCUUGUCUCUGUGUUAUGUGGUUGCUGUGGGUCUUGUCUCUGUGUUAUGUGGUUGCUGUGGGUCUUGUCUCUGUGUUAUGUGGUUGCUGUGGGUCUUGUCUCUGUGUUAUGUGGUUGCUGUGGGUCUUGUCUCUGUGUUAUGUGGUUGCUGUGGGUCUUGUUUCUGUGUUAUGUGGUUGCUAUGGGUCUUGUCUCUGUGUUAUGUGGUUGCUGUGGGUCACGUCUCUGUGUUAUGUGGUUGCUGUGGGUCUUGUCUCUGUGUUAUGUGGUUGCUGUGGGUCACGUCUCUGUCUUAUGUGGUUGCUGUGGGUCUUGUCUCUGUGUUAUGUGGUUGUUGUGGGUCUCUGUGUUAUGUGGUUGCUAUGGGUCUUGUCUCUGUGUUAUGUGGUUGCUAUGGGUCUUGUCUCUGUGUUAUGUGGUUGUUGUGGGUCUUUGUGUUAUGUGGUUGCUAUGGGUCUUGUCUCUGUGUUAUGUGGUUGCUGUGGGUCUCUGUGUUAUGUGGUUGCUGUGGGUCUGGUCUCUGUGGUAUGUGGUUGCUAUGGGUCUUGUCUCUGUGUUAUGUGGUUGUUGUGGGUCUUUGUGUUAUGUGGUUGCUAUGGGUCUUGUCUCUGUGUUAUGUGGUUGCUGUGGGUCUCUGUGUUAUGUGGUUGCUGUGGGUCUGGUCUCUGUGGUAUGUGGUUGUUGUGGGUCUUUGUGUUAUGUGGUUGCUGUGGGUCUUGUCUCUGUGUGGAUGUUGACGCAUGUCCAUGUUCUCACUCACUUCGCUCAAAUCGCAUGUAUCAGGGUUAUCUGAUUCUUCUAGUACGCUUGUUAAAUCUGAUUCAGCUGAUUCCUCAGGUUUAUCUGAUUCUUCUAGUCUGUUUGUUACACCUGAUUCACCUGAUUUACCUGAUUCAGCUUAUUCCUGGUCUGUGUUUUGGUGAGCCACAGCUCUCCUACUCUACUCCUACUUUAUGACACUAACCCUCUCCUCUUCUCUCUAGAUAUCAACGCCCAGGCUAGGAAGCUACAGAGGAACAGAACUAAAGGAACUCUGACACUACCUCGACCUGGGACCACCUUCUGCCGCUCCCUCAGUGAGACCAGUCUCAACCAGGUACACUACUAUUAGAACUGCUUCUACUAUUAUAUCUAAUACUACUAUUACUACUAUUAUAACUA